UACGGAAGGCAGCAGUGGGGAAUAUUGCACAAUGGGCGCAAGCCUGAUGCAGCCAUGCCGCGUGUAUGAAAAAGGCCUUCGGGUUGUAAAGUACUUUCAGUCGUGAGGAAGGUGUUAAGGUUAAUAACCUUAGCAAUUGACGUUAGCGACAGAAGAAGCACCGGCUAACUCCGUGCCAGCAGCCGCGGUAAUACGGAGGGUGCGAGCGUUAAUCGGAAUUACUGGGCGUAAAGGGCACGCAGGCGGUUAAUUAAGUUGGAUGUGAAAUCCCCGGGCUUAACCUGGGAAUGGCAUUCAAGACUGGUUAGCUAGAGUCUUGUAGAGGGGGUAGAAUUCCAUGUGUAGCGGUGAAAUGCGUAGAGAUGUGGAGGAAUACCGGUGGCGAAGGCGGCCCCUGGACAAAGACUGACGCUCAUGUGCGAAAGCGUGGGGAGCGAAACAGGGAUUUAGAUACC
rnacentral:rRNA from 1 species